AUGGCGUCGACGGCGCCGCUCUUCCCCGAUGCGCCUCCGGCUCGACCCUGCCCUGAUGCCCUGCCGACGGCACCCUGCCCCGGUGCACCUCCGACGGCUGAGGCGCAGGCGACCCUCCCGGAGCACCUCACGGAGGAGAUCCUCCUCCGCCUCCCCACGGCCGCCGACCUCGCCCGCGUCUCCGUGGCCGGCCCCUUCCUCCGCCGCAUCAUCGCAGACCAUUCCUUCCUCCGUCGCUUUCGCACCCUCCACCCGCCGCCUCUCCUGGGCAUACUACUCCCGACCUCCUUCCUCCCAGCCCAGCCGCCCCACCCCUCGGCCGCCGCCGCACGAGCCCUUGCCGGCACCGACUUCUCCUACUCCUUCCUCCCCUCCCGCGAGCAUCCCUGGAUUCGUUGCAACUUCCGCGAUGGCCGCGCCCUCCUCUGCGUCCACCAGCACGACCUUUUCAUGUUCAGGGAUAUCGCCGUUUGUGACCCGAUGCAUCGGCGCUACCUCCCGUCCCUUGGUACCGGCCCGAUCUAG
rnacentral:rRNA from 1 species